AAAAUAUCCAUUAAAAUUGUGAAAAAGUAUCAAUUAAUCAACACAAGUUAAUUAGUUAGUUCUACAUACAAAAUCAACAAAGUUUAAAAACAGAAUUCAAAAAAUGGGCUGCAAAGGAUGCAAUAACAACUGCCAAUGCUCUAGCACCAGAUGUGGCGAUAACUGCGCCUGCACAAAGGAGUGUCAAUGUGUUUGCAAAAACGGUCCCAAGGAUAAAUGUUGUGAAAAUAAAAACUAAAAUUUUGAAUAGUAAAACUGAAAAUUGUGGUAAACAAUUACAACAAUAAAAAUAAAUAAUACAAUAUGUAGUUGAAAAUACAA